AGCGAACGCUGGCGGCAGGCCUAACACAUGCAAGUCGAACGAACUCUUCGGAGUUAGUGGCGGACGGGUGAGGAACACGUGGGAACGUGCCUUUUGGUUCGGAAUAACUCAGGGAAACAUGUGCUAAUACCGAAUGUGCCCUUCGGGGGAAAGAGUUAUCGCCAUUAGAGCGGCCCGCGUCUGAUUAGCUAGUUGGUGAGGUAACGGCUCACCAAGGCGACGAUCAGUAGCUGGUCUGGGAGGAUGACCAGCCACACUUGGACUGCGACACGGCCCAGACUCCUACGGGAGGCAGCAGUGGGGAAUCUUACGCAAUGGGCGAAAGCCUGACGCAGCCAUGCCGCGUGAAUGAUGAAGGUCUUAGGAUUGUAAAAUUCUUUCACCGGGGACGAUAAUGACGGUACCCGGUGAAGAAGCCCCGGCUAACUUCGUG
rnacentral:rRNA from 1 species